rnacentral:rRNA from 1 species
CCUACGGGAGGCAGCAGUGAGGAAUAUUGGUCAAUGGCCGUAAGGCUGAACCAGCCAAGUAGCGUGAGGGAAGACUGCCCUAUGGGUUGUAAACCUCUUUUAUGCGGGGAUAAAGGUGUCCACGUGUGGAUGUUUGCAGGUACCGCAUGAAUAAGGACCGGCUAAUUCCGUGCCAGCAGCCGCGGUAAUACGGAGGAUGCGAGCGUUAUCCGGAUUUAUUGGGUUUAAAGGGUGCGCAGGCGGAUUUUUAAGUCAGCGGUCAAAUCGUGGGGCUCAACCCCAUCCAGCCGUUGAAACUGGGGAUC